GACGAACGCUGGCGGCGUGCUUAACACAUGCAAGUCGAACGGGCCCGCUCUCUUUUUUGGGGGUGGGUUGAGUGGCGAACGGGUGAGUAUCACGUGAGUAACCUGCCCCCUGCUCCUGGAUAACUGCUUGAAAGGGCGGCUAAUACGGGGUGUGCCGGCUGGUCCGCAUGGGCCUGGUCGGGAUAGUUUCAUCUUCGGGUGUUUCGGUGGGGGAUGGGCUCGCGGCCUAUCAGCUUGUUGGUGGGGUGAUGGCCCACCAGGGCGGUGACGGGUAGCCGGCCUGGGAGGGUGGGCGGCCACACUGGGACUGGGACCCGGCCCAGGCUCCUGCGGGAGGCAGCAGUGGGGGGUAUGGCACAAGGGGCGGAAGCCUGAUGCAGCGACGUCGCGUGAGGGAUGGAGGCCGUCGGGUGGUGAACCUCUUUCUCCGGUGGGGAAGGCCCUGUCCGUUGCGGCGGGGUUGACGGUAGCCGGGUAUGAAGCGCCGGCUAACUACGUG
rnacentral:rRNA from 1 species